CUCAAGAGGACCUCUAAGAGGAUCUCACGGGAGACACCUAAAAACAAACGCUUGUGCAUUGCUACUUGAAUCACUUGGGAGUGGAACGUAAAUACCAUAAAAAGAUGCCAAUUUGAAGGUUAUCAGAAGAAGAGUUUUAGCAGCAGUCAACACGGUGGAGGAUAAUUCAACUUUAUUCUAGGGGCAAAUAUGGCAUCUAGGGACACUUUGGAAAAAGGGAGAACUUUUCUGCUUUUGGUAGUUUCCGAAGAGAAAGGAGAUCAAGGGAGACUAGGAGUCUUCCCUUUUUCCUCCUCUGGACAGCCGCAUAGUAAAGGGAGUAGGGAUUAGAUAGUAGAAGAUAGCUAGAACUACUUUUAGUUUCCUCUUUGACUUUUCCUUUUUCAUCUUCUUGUGGUUUUCUUCUUUCGGAUGUCAAGGCCAAGAAAAACAAUAAAUCACUCUCUGUAGCUUCGUUUUUCUUCCUUAUUCCAAUGGAUUGAAUCUUCUCAAUCAAAGACAAUGUCCGUGACUAUUAUUUCUGAA